rnacentral:rRNA from 1 species
GAUCAUGGCUCAGGACGAACGCUGGCGGCGCGCCUAACACAUGCAAGUCGAACGGAGCUGAGAGAAGCUUGCUUUUUCUUUAGCUUAGUGGCGAACGGGUGAGUAACGCGUGAGUAACCUGCCCUGGAGUGGGGGACAACAGUUGGAAACGACUGCUAAUACCGCAUAAGCCCACGAUCCGGCAUCGGAUUGAGGGAAAAGGAUUUAUUCGCUUCAGGAUGGACUCGCGUCCAAUUAG